GCCAUUGUAGCUCAGUGGUAGAGCACUUCCUUGGUAAGGAAGAGGUCGCCGGUUCGAUCCCGGCCAAUGGCU
rnacentral:tRNA from 1 species